rnacentral:tRNA from 2 species
UGGGGUAUCGCCAAGAGGUUAAGGCAUAGCACUUUGACUGCUACAUCAUGGGUUCAAAUCCCAUUACCCCAG